UGGGCCAGUGGGUGGAGCCUGCUACCGAACGCGUCUGCAAAGAAAGUUGAAUUAAACCAGGAGAUUUGCCACCCCCAAUUAUCUUCAACGGUUCUACUAAAACAGGGGUGUCCAACGGUCGUACAGGAUAUCCACAAUUACAGUUCAUAACAGUUUCCAACCAUUUCCUUCCGAAGCCUGCUCAUGUCAGCGAUGUAGCAACAGAGUAAUGACAAUGCUAUCAAUCACCAGUGUGGAUUCCCCGAGAUUAAUCUCUAGUCCAACAAGCUACAGAACGCUUAUUCUCAAGUCUUUAUGGAUUUCCCCAUCAGAAACAAAGACAAUUUCAUCCUCUCCAACAUCAGCUAUUUCUACCUCCUUUUUCAGAAGCUUUUUCCUGCAUCUUGAUAUAGAAUUAAUGCCAAGGGAUCCGGAAAUCUCUGUAAAGAGAUACUUAUUUGUUGGACCAGGUCAAAAAAAAAAAGUCUGGUGAUUUUGGGAUGAGGCUUUGCUGUAAUUUUCAUCUUCCCUAGUGCCCUAAAUUGCUUAAAAACAAACUGGUGUUAGGAAUACUCUAUUGUUCUAAAGCUGAGAAUAUCCAUGAUCAACUGUGAAGCUCACUUGGUAAUGAUGGAGAUAUAAUAACCUAACUUAUGUUUCCUUACAGGAUUAUUGAAAAUAUAUCAUCCUAGAAGUAUGGGUUAUGAAUGUGACAUUCAAAUGGCACUUUAUAAUAAAAUACUUUGUUCAACAUUGUUUAGAUCGGCUGCAACUUUCCAGGAAACCUUAAACACAGCAUCCUUCAGCCAUUUGGGUACUUUCCAUCACCUAAAGUAGAGAUGUGUAAUUUUGUCAACUUGAGGGGGAAAUAAAGCAAUUUCCUUUGUUUUUAACUGCCUAUCCCACAGCACCUGCCACCAAACACAAAAAAAACCCUUUAGAUUUUUUUCAUACCUCAAGGGAUGCAACUUCUCUUGGCCAAUAGUCAUAGUUGGUUUUUGGCAAAUGCUAUGACUGAUUUUGAUAAUGAUAUGUACAAUAAUAUGCUAGAGGCAGCCUUCCUAAAAGUAAGCAGGUCAAAUGUUAAAUAGUACCCCCGCACACAUAGUUCAUGAUUUUCCCUUCUGUCACACUAAAAUUUGGUAGUCCGUUUUGGGGGAGAAACAUUCAAAGCUUUUUAAAGACCUUUUGUGGCCCAGGGACCUAAGACUGUGACUCUUCAUCUGAAGGAAAGGCUGGUCCCUUAUAUCUGAACUCUUCUAAUCAGCAUUCAUCAGAUGUAUCACCUGAGUCUACCUGUCCUUAUAAUCAUUAUGCCACAAAUUUGUGAAAUGUAAAAUACUAGGCACUUAAAUAAAAGAAUGUGUAGCACAGUCCUAAGAAGCUCCCCAAGAUUUUGAGAGCACAAUAGAACACAGUAUCCUGAAACUGUGGCUACAAAAGCAUGUCUGGAUAUUAAAGAAUACAGAAACAAGGAAGAGGGUUGAUUUAAGAAGAAUCAGAAUCUACAGCUGGGCCAUUCCUUUAUUAGGGCCAACAAAAAAGGUACAAUAGGAUAUUAUGCUUUUAAGAUCUCCAGAAUUCUUCCAGGCAAUUCUUACAACAACAACAACAAAAUAGGGAAAGGAAAAAGUUUAAAAGUUUAAAAAAAACAUUCAGCUUGAAGUUUUGCAGAUUAAAGUCAACCUUAAAAAGGAAAUAGUAGCUUGAUGUUAAGGAUUUCCUUGCCCUCCUGUGCCCCAAACAUGCAUAUUUCAAACAGUUGUAUUCAUUUUUCUAGAAUAGGUGGGGGUAUAGCAAAAUCAUUACAAAAAUAUCCAGAAUCCUUCAGGGGUUUUUUUGUACCAGACUAUUAUUAGUGCUUGAAAUCAGAUGCAAAAUCAAUUCAAAAUGUUUUGUUUUGCCUUCCAAGUGAUGGGGAUGGAUUUCAAAGAUCUCCCAAAACUCUAAAUUUCAGCCACAUUCCAUGCAACAAACAAGGUGAUUAAAACAAAGCCAAUGGCUCUCCAUGCAUCUCUCUCCAAAGAAAACAGGGAAGUCAGCAUUCCAGGUUUAUUUCCUUCAGGCUUUUCCAUCAACUCAUAUAGGCCUUUACCUGGGGAAAUCAUUCCCAGAGAAGAGGUGAGGGUAAAUAAAAUACAGAAAUCAGGAGUUGCAUCCAUUCAUUUUGUAGAUUUAUCCUGUGCCUGGAUGUGAAUGAAACUUCAUGAAAAUUCCGAAGAAUUAUCCAAAGCAGCUGUGGGUGUUAAUAUGUGUCUAUGUGUCUGUAUGUAUGAAUUCUACAUGAGUCAACCAACUUAAUCUAAGAAUUGAAAAUAAGUGGUUUAGAGUUUCCAUCUACCUUUCUUGUUACAUAAUGAAUUGACAUUAUAAAAUACAACUCAUAUGAAAAAAGCCAGCAAAUGUGAAUCAUGAAAUAUUUUACACACACAAGCUUACAUUCAAAACCCCACAGCUUUAUCAAACCCAAAACUUAUCAUUUCUGUGUUUCCCCUCCCAAAAAGGACAGUCUGCAUUUAACCAUAUGAACUAGCACCAUUGAAAAUGCACUCCUGUAUGCAUUCCUCAAAGCAAAGUGCUUUCAACUUAGCAAGGAAAAUAAGUGUAAGAUUACAGCAUUGCUAUGGAUUCCAAUCUAUUGAGGACAGUGGUUUGCUUCUAAGUCAACAUCUAUACCUCUUCUGAAUAAUCUUGUUUGGCCACCUAACUAUUAUCAUCAGUAAAAUUAAUGAGCUUUUUUUUCUGAGUCUGUAUAUUUGAGGAUUGUUGCACAAAGGCUGUAUCUCUACCCAAAAUUGCAUUAUACACCCUUCAGUACUGCUCAAGUAAAUUAAGACCAGGAAAGGUGUUUCCAAGCAAAGAUAACCUUGAAGCUUCUUCCAAUUAGCUGUUACAGUGUAAUCAUUUUCUUGUCUUAAAUGUGGCUUUCUUCUAAACAACUGUUUUGUUUCAAAAAGGUUACUCAUGGUCAAAUCUUAACAUUCAGUUCACCAUCUGAAUCAGAAGGAGUAUACAUACACUUUUAUUAUAAUUUUGGACCUUGUACCACUAAAUUCAAAUCUACCAUUACAGAACUGGUGUUGUACCACAGUUUCUUAACCUGCAUAAACAAGGCCAUCUACAAUCAGAACUUCUUUUUGCUUAUCUUUCCUCUGUAAACAACAAGAGGUUUCAUGUGGAUGAUAGCAUAAUACCAUCAAGAAUGGCAUGGCCCCAAAGAAAAUAAGUACUAGUCAGAAACCGGGGCAGUAUUUUAUCUGAUCUGGUAAGAACAAACAUGAUUAAAGUGAAGAAAACUGUCUAAUGAGGAAUGUGGCUAUCCUAUCCUUGCAAGGAAAUUAAUUCAAAAGGUGCUACUUUUCAAAUUAUUAUUUACCUUCAAGAAGCAAAGGAAGAUGUGGUACAUUUAGAGAAAAAGUAAAACCCACAGCUGGUUGAUAGCUCUUAACAGAGAUCAGCCAAAAUAAUGAGCAAGUUUUUGAGUUCACUAGGAUUAUUCAUUAGGCUGAAUGGGGAGGGGGGUUUGAAAAACAGGAAUGAGAAAAUAGGAAGCUUGAUUUUGAGACUUAAAAAAAAACCAGUUAGUCACCGUUAAAAUGUGGAAAAAAGAGGAUAGGCUUACAGUAUAGAAAUACGGAGACCCACUGUAUUCAAAGCUAGCAUCAUCUGAGAAAGCUCUAUUAAGUACCAUACUUAUAAAGAUUUGGGCUGCAGCUGGGGCAAGGAAACAAUGUUCCCUCCCUUUAGGGGUGAAAUAUAAAAUGCAGCCAUUUUAUUGUCAGCUGAUAUGAACUUUGGGUAAAGAAAACAAAAGUACCUGUGUUUCAAAUUCCACAUGAAGGAAUUUUGUUAAUGUAAAUUUCUCUUUCCUCACCUAUGGGACACAAAUAUUUAUUUCACUCAUUUAAUAACAUUUACCUAUCUC